CGCCCUGGGCGCGGUCACCUCGGUCCCCAGACGCCUCGGGUUCCUGCAGGCUACGAAGACGAAGACGCACGGAGGACGGCGCGGUUCCGACAGAGGGCGCCAAAGGCGGCAUGCGAGCGGCCAGCUCCAGGCGGAGCCCUGUGCGCCGCAGGAACCGGCCCCUUCACCCGGCGCGGGACGCAGAGCUGCGCGAGAAUCUUGAUCGGCGCGGACUCAACGCCAGGGCGCCGCCUAGAGGUCUGUUUCUGCCUUGGCCUCACCCGCCGCAACCUCAGAGCUGCUUCCCCAGCCGCCUGCCACCAGAAAUU